CACUCGAGGAACUGCAGUUUUUAACACUUCUGCAUGGGCUUCAAUUCUCAUGGCCGGAGGUUGCCGAAGGUUUGCUCGAUAUGCUUUUAAGAGGAUGAGCAGAAACAGGCCUCAUCCUCCCUCCUUCACCUCCUCCUCUUCCUCCUCCUCCUCCUGCAGGCUGACUGAUGUGGUCAUGGAUGCACGCUGACACACUCGAACACAUCGGAGAAUGUUUCAGGGUCUCAAACCUUCAGGUCAUCUUCUCUGCCCCUCCGGCUCUACGUGAAAUGAUCUCUGUCUGUUCUCUCAUCAUUUACUUUUCCCACCUCCUCUUCCUCACCUCCUCCACCAUCAUCAUCCUCCCGUUUCCCUUCAUUCUCCACUCAUGCAGAGCAGCUCCAACCGCAGCCUGAGGUAAUAAACUCUGUGUGUCAUCUGCCUUCAGAGCAUGGAUCAUAAAUACCCGUGUCCUCUGAGUGAGUGUUGGGGCUCAUUUGCAUCACAUCCUCAUUACGUGAACAUCAUCGUCCUCGUGUAAGAGCUGCGUGCACCACCUGUGUUUCAUUGGAUGUGAUUUAAUGCAGCAGGUGAGGAGUGGUUUGACAGCACUCUUCUCUGAUAUAAACGGGAGGAAGGAGUGGAUGGACGGCCUGAGAGGUGAUGUGCUCUGUGGUAAACAUGAGCUCUGCCUUCUCUACAGGGCUGACCGUGAUCUCUCCCUCUAAUGGUUUCUACAAAAAAUAAAAUUAACAAACAAAUCAUAAUGCCAGGUAAUCUUAAGAUUGUAUAUUUACUAGGGUUCUAUAAAUGCAGUCGGUGGGUGUUGAAGGAGGAGAAAGCACAGAGCCGGACCGGAGCCGACCGGAACGGAUCAGAGCGGAUCAGACAUACCGGAUCUGUUGGAAGUCCGAUGACAGAUGACUGGAUAAGCCAAAAACACCAACAACUCUCCUCACAGCUCAGGUGAAACUGAACUCAUUCAGACAAUGAUCUCUAACUGAUUGUUGUUUACUCAACUAUCACCAGCUGCUGAGAGAGAAACCUAAAGACCCUACCUCUGAACAACACAGCUGAUGGUCUCAAACACAUUAAGAAGACCAGCAGCUCAAACAUGAACAGCUCAGGGAGAGAAACACAGGAAGGUUUAGAUCUGGACUUUAGGCUCCACUGACGAACCGACGAGGGUCACGAAAAAACAGAGACACAACUUUCUCUGAAGAUUAAAGACGGAGCAAAGAAACAGAACGAUCACAAAAUAUAAUAGUAUAGAAAAUACAUUCACCCUAAGCUCUGUGGGUGGAUGUGGGGCUGUAUAAUGUAUGUUCACAUGCUAUCACUGAGCUAAAAAUAGCAGCAGAGGAUGUAUAACUCCCUCAUGGCAGCUCUACACACACACACACACACACACACACAAACUGUGCUGUAGAUGUAUGCAUGCUAGAGGCCGGAGCUGUAGGAGCGUCAUGAAUGUUUCAUAGAUGUA